rnacentral:rRNA from 1 species
UGAACGCUGGCGGCAGGCCUAACACAUGCAAGUCGAGCGGAUGAAGGGAGCUUGCUCCUGGCUUCAGCGGCGGACGGGUGAGUAAUGCCUAGGAAUCUGCCUGGUAGUGGGGGAUAACGUCCGGAAACGGGCGCUAAUACCGCAUACGUCCUGAGGGAGAAAGUGGGGGAUCUUCGGACCUCACGCUAUCAGAUGAGCCUAGGUCGGAUUAGCUAGUUGGUGGGGUAAAGGCCUACCAAGGCGACGAUCCGUAACUGGUCUGAGAGGAUGAUCAGUCACACUGGAACUGAGACACGGUCCAGACUCCUACGGGAGGCAGCAGUGGGGAAUAUUGGACAAUGGGCGAAAGCCUGAUCCAGCCAUGCCGCGUGUGUGAAGAAGGUCUUCGGAUUGUAAAGCACUUUAAGUUGGGAGGAAGGGCAGUAAGUUAAUACCUUGCUGUUUUGACGUUACCAACAGAAUAAGCACCGGCUAACUUCGUG